rnacentral:misc_RNA from 1 species
UACGAAGGGGGCUAGCGUUGUUCGGAAUUAUUGGGCGUAAAGCGCACGUAGGCGGCUUUUUAAGUUGGGGGUGAAAUCCCGGGGCUCAACCUCGGAACUGCCUCUGAUACUGGCAAUCUUGAGAUCGGGAGAGGAGUGUGGAACUCCGAGUGUAGAGGUGAAAUUCGUAGAUAUUCGGAAGAACACCAGAGGCGAAGGCGGCACUCUGGCCCGAUACUGACGCUGAGGUGCGAAAGCGUGGGGAGCAAACAGG